AGAGUUUGAUCCUGGCUUAGGAUGAACGCUGGCGGCGUGCUUAAUACAUGCAAGUCGAACGAAGCACUUUGGCAGAUCCCUCGGGGUAAAGCCGGUUGUGACUUAGUGGCGGACGGGUGAGUAACGCGUGGGUAACCUGCCUUAUACUGGGGGAUAACAGUUAGAAAUGGCUGCUAAUACCCCAUAAGCGCACGGCACCGCAUGAUGCAGUGUGAAAAGAUUUAUUGGUAUAAGAUGGACCCGCGUCUGAUUAGUUAGUUGGUGAGGUAACGGCCCACCAAGACGACGAUCAGUAGCCGACUUGAGAGAGUGAUCGGCCACAUUGGGACUGAGACACGGCCCAGACUCCUACGGGAGGCAGCAGUAGGGAAUAUUGCACAAUGGGGGAAACCCUGAUGCAGCCGACGCCGCGUGAGUGAUGAAGUUAUUUCGGUAUGUAAAGCUCUAUCAGCAGGGAAGAUAAUGACGGUACCUGACUAAGAAGCCCCGGCUAACUACGUGCCAGCCGCAGC
rnacentral:rRNA from 1 species